rnacentral:rRNA from 1 species
AGAUUGAACGCUGGCGGCAUGCCUUACACAUGCAAGUCGAACGGCAGCACGGGAGCAAUCCUGGUGGCGAGUGGCGAACGGGUGAGUAAUAUAUCGGAACGUGCCCAGUCGUGGGGGAUAACGUAGAGAAAUUUACGCUAAUACCGCAUACGAUCCAAGGAUGAAAGCGGGGGAACCGUAAGGCCUCGCGCGACUGGAGCGGCUGAUAUCAGAUUAGCUUGUUGGUGAGGUAAAGCUCACCGAAGGCGACGAUCUGUAGUCUUGGUUUGAGAGAACGACCAGCCGACACGUGGACUAGGACGACGACCGGCCC